UGCAGUCAAGUCAAAUUCAGCACCUGCUCCUAUCAUAGCGGGUGCUGGCUCAGGUGACUGCCAUAGCAGUCUGUGCCACAGUAGCUAUUGGGCCUGGCCUCUGUCCUGAGGCCUGGGAAUCAGUUGGCUACAGACACUG
ensembl:snoRNA SNORA5C small nucleolar RNA SNORA5